AAAGGAAAAAAUGCAUCUCAAGCCGCCAAAAAAAUUUGUGCAGUUUAUGGACCCGAUACAGUUUCCAUUUCCACCGCACAACGAUGGUUUCAACGUUUUCGCCUGUCGUCGAAAAUUGCGAUAAAAUCGCUGAAUUGGUC